rnacentral:rRNA from 1 species
UACGGAGGAUCCGAGCGUUAUCCGGAUUUAUUGGGUUUAAAGGGUGCGUAGGCGGCCUGGUAAGUCAGGGGUGAAAGACGGUAGCUUAACUAUCGCAGUGCCCUUGAUACUGCUGGGCUUGAAUGUAGUUGAGGUAGGCGGAAUGUGACAAGUAGCGGUGAAAUGCAUAGAUAUGUCACAGAACACCAAUUGCGAAGGCAGCUUACUAAAGUAUGAUUGACGCUGAGGCACGAAAGCGUGGGGGAUCAAAACAGG